UGAACUGCAUUCUCAGGAAAAUCACAGAACAUCCACUAAGGAUUUUAUUUGUGUCUGCCUAUUUCGUAGACCUGUCAUUGCUCAGCUUUAAUGAGACCUAGUCAGCUUAGUUGCAGAAAGAUCCUUACAUGUCCAGGAGGUGAUCUCAUCUUUCAGUUUAGUGGAACCAUUGUUGUGUGCCUUUUGUUGGAAUCAUCCCAUCUUGAUAAUUAAUGUCUCCAAAGAAACAGCUCAAAGUUACCAGUAUGGAGGCCUGAUUUUUCAUACUAAUAAGGAACCAAGCAAAUACUAUGAAUGCUGAUGGAAUUAGAGAUAACAGGAACUUGUUUCCUCUGAGAAUACAACACUCUGAAAUGUUAGAAAUGUUGGAGACAGACUCACCAUCACAUGCAAGGGGGAGUAAAGACAAGAUUCUGGAAUGUGCCACUUUGGCAUGUGGAUUGUUUCCAGCUGAAGACGAAAGCCAACAGACUCAAGAAGAGCUUUUUAUCUCCCCUUUAACUGCCUAAAAACUUUUAGAUAGUCUAUAGCAAAAGAGAGCUAAUGCCAAAGAAAAUUUUUGGUUAUUUGUAGGGCCUGGCAAAUAUUUGUUUACCAAAUGUCUGCUUGUCUCAUCUUCCUGAGAUUUGUCUUCCUCCCUUUUGACACUCCACACUUGUAUCCCCUUCUCCUUAGAUCAGAAUGUUAUAUAAGCAUCGAUUACCUGACUGCCAGGGAGCCUCUCAUGUCUUUGUGAGGCUUCUGAAUAUACAAAAUUAAAAUUGUUUUUCCCCUGGUAAUCUGUGUUAUGUCAAUACAACUAUUAGACCAGCCAGAGAACCUAGAAGGGAAGAAGGGAAAAGUUUUCUCCCAUACAUAUGUUUGAUGUGAUUGCUUAUAUGUCAC